AGCGAACGCUGGCGGCAGGCCUAACACAUGCAAGUCGAACGAAGUCUUCGGACUUAGUGGCGGACGGGUGAGUAACACGUGGGAACGUACCUUUUGGUUCGGAACAACUCAGGGAAACUUGAGCUAAUACCGGAUGAGCCCUUAGGGGGAAAGAUUUAUCGCCGAAAGAGCGGCCCGCGUUAGAUUAGCUAGUUGGUGAGGUAAAGGCUCACCAAGGCUACGAUCUAUAGCUGGUCUGAGAGGAUGAUCAGCCACACUGGGACUGAGACACGGCCCAGACUCCUACGGGAGGCAGCAGUGGGGAAUCUUGCGCAAUGGGCGAAAGCCUGACGCAGCCAUGCCGCGUGAAUGAUGAAGGUCUUAGGAUUGUAAAAUUCUUUUACCAGGGACGAUAAUGACGGUACCUGGAGAAAAAGCCCCGGCUAACUUCGUGCCAGCAGCCGCCGCAGUAA
rnacentral:rRNA from 1 species